AAGCUAAGCAAACAAUUAAGUGGCGAGGAUUGGAAUUAGAACAACUUAAACACAUUAUGUUGGGCAAUAGGGUCUAUAUCUGGUUCGAUGAUGGAAGAACAGGAGAAUAGAUUUUUGGUUAUGGUCAUUCGUGACUUGCUGAAUUUAUGCGAAAUCACGAAAGGGAAGGAUAACAAAGCUGUCAUCGCAAGUAACAUUAUGUAUAUUGUUGGACAGUACCCGAGGUUUCUAAGAGCUCACUAGAAGUUCCUAAAAACUAUUGUGAACAAAUUGUUUGAGUUCAUGCAUGAGACACAUCCUGGUGUUCAGGAUAUGGCCUGUGACACAUUCUUGAAGAUUGUUCAGAAGUGCAA